UCCUCGGCUCCCGGCUUCCCUUUCCUCCUCGGCCCCUGCGGGGACUGGAGUGUCCCGGCCGAGCUCCGAGCUCCGAGCUCCGAGCUCCGGGCACGCGUUGUGGACUUUGGACAGAUGCAGUGUCAGGAUGACUUGAAAGUUGGGCAUCCUUGGCCCUCCUGAAUAGAGGAAAUUAGUGGCAGGUGGACAGUCUGUGUAUGGAAUUUCAGGUGCCUUCACCAGAGAAACCUGGCUCCAUCGGAACCUCAAAUGUCAAACCUUUACCAUACAGCCUUCAUCUUUUAGAGGACUAAGAUGACUUCAAUAGUUCUCCUCUUUUAAUGGACACCUAAGGAAGAGGUCCUAAGAACGGCAGUCUUGAAUUCCAGCAGCGCCUGAUCACAGCCUCAGUCCUUCAUAGUGAAAUAGAAAUGGCUACGCCUGGCCAGAGUGGCUUAGUUGGAGCAUCAUGCCAUGGACCAAAAGUUUGCUGGCUCAAUUCCUGAUCAGUGGAAACUGAAAUUGGACUGGCAGGUUUACUGGUCUGGUUGAAAGAACUGUCAAUGGACUUUUGCAUUGACAUUUCUGAUUGCGCCUCAAAUUUUAAUCAGGAAAACAAAAUUUCAGAGGAAUACAUUCUACAGGCUCCAAAGGGACACUAAAAGGAGGCUCACUGCCUGGGCAUUUACACAAAGGAGAAAACCUUAUAAGAGCAAUUAAUUAAGAACUUUAAAAAGUGACAGUGACUCCUGUUAAUCUUGCUGCUUAAUUGGGGCUUUAAAAAUAGCUUCCAGUUAAUGGGCCUGUCAAUAUUCUCUUGGGAAACAAUUUCACUGACUUAAUCAGUUAUAAUACUUAGACUGUCUGCUUAAAAAUAUCUUUCUCUUUAUUGCUAUUUUAACGAACCAACUUGGUGGGUCAUAUAUUUGUCCAUUGAAUAUCUUAAGGCCUGGUUUAAAGGGGCCCUCUUACUUUGCCCCUCCCAAUUCUCCAGUAAAGGGCCUUUGGGGUGUGAGAAUGUUCUAUACUGCUUUAUUACCUGAGAAGGAGGUGGUAAAAUGGACCUUGAAAUUUAUUUUAUUUCAGAUUAGUUACAGAAAAGUUGUGACAAUAGUAUGAAGAAUUCCCAUCUACCCCUCAUCCAGUGUCCCCUAAUGUUUACUGUUUUACAAUAGUAUAGUACAUUUGUCACAAUGGACUAAUGGAUACAGUAUUAACUAAAGUCCAUACUUUAUUCUGAUUUCCUUAGUUUUCAUCUAA